rnacentral:rRNA from 1 species
AGUGAGCGGAUGAACUGAGGGUAGCGGAGAAAUUCCAAUCGAACCUGGAGAUAGCUGGUUCUCUCCGAAAUAGCUUUAGGGCUAGCCUCAAGUGAUGAUUAUUGGAGGUAGAGCACUGUUUGGACGAGGGGCCCCUCUCGGGUUACCGAAUUCAGACAAACUCCGAAUGCCAAUUAAUUUAACUUGGGAGUCAGAACAUGGGUGAUAAGGUCCGUGUUCGAAAGGGAAACAGCCCAGACCACCAGCUAAGGUCCCAAAAUAUAUGUUAAGUGGAAAAGGAUGUGGCGUUGCCCAGACAACUAGGAUGUUGGCUUAGAAGCAGCCAUCAUUUAAAGAGUGCGUAAUAGCUCACUAGUCGAGUGACACUGCGCCGAAAAUGUACCGGGGCUAAACAUAUUACCGAAGCUGUGGAUUGUCCUUUGGACAAUGGUAGGAGAGCGUUCUAAGGGCGUUGAAGCAUGAUCGUAAGGACAUGUGGAGCGCUUAGAAGUGAGAAUGCCGGUGUGAGUAGCGAAAGACGGGUGAGAAUCCCGUCCACCGAUUGACUAAGGUUUCCAGAGGAAGGCUCGUCCGCUCUGGGUUAGUCGGGUCCUAAGCUGAGGCCGACAGGCGUAGGCGAUGGAUAACAGGUUGAUAUUCCUGUACCACCUAUAAUCGUUUUAAUCGAUGGGGGGACGCAGUAGGAUAGGCGAAGCGUGCGAUUGGAUUGCACGUCUAAGCAGUAAGGCUGAGUAUUAGGCAAAUCCGGUACUCG